rfam:Picea glauca, whole genome shotgun sequence.
GAAACGGUGUCUUUAGACACCACCAAUUUUCUUUGAAAUUUAUUA